rnacentral:rRNA from 3 species
GGACCAAUAUGUCGGUCGUGCUUCGGUACGUACUGUCAUAAUUGGUUUCUCCCUUCUGAAGAACCUUGAUGUCAUUAAUUUGGUGUCUUGGGGAAUCAGGACUGUUACUUUGAAAAAAUUAGAGUGUUUAAAGCAGGCUCGCGCUUGAAUACAUUAGCAUGGAAUAAUGAAAUAGGACGUUUGAUUCUAUUUUGUUGGUUUCUAGGAUCGACGUA